rnacentral:rRNA from 1 species
UACGUAGGGUGCAAGCGUUGUCCGGAAUUAUUGGGCGUAAAGAGCUCGUAGGCGGUCUGUCGCGUCUGCUGUGAAAACUCAGGGCUUAACCCUGAGCUUGCAGUGGGUACGGGCAGACUAGAGUGCGGUAGGGGAGACUGGAAUUCCUGGUGUAGCGGUGAAAUGCGCAGAUAUCAGGAGGGAACACCGGUGGGCGAAAGGCGGGUCUCU